CCUACGUGAGGCAGCAGUGAGGAAUAUUGGUCAAUGGGCGCGAGCCUGAACCAGCCAAGUAGCGUGAAGGAUGACUGCCCUACGGGUUGUAAACUUCGUUUAUAAAGGAAUAAAGUGAGGCACGUGUGCCUUUUUGUAUGUACUUUAUGAAUAAGGAUCGGCUAACUCCGUGCCAGCAGACGCGGUAAUACGGAGGUUCCGAGCGUUAUCCGGCUUUAUUGGGGUUAAAGGGAGCGUAGAUGGGUUGUUAAGUCAGUAGUGAAAGUUUUCGGCUCAACCGUAAAAUUGCAAUUGAUACUGGCAGUCUUGAGUGCAGUUGAGGUAGGCGGAAUUCGUGGUGUAGCGGUGAAAUGCUUAGAUAUCACGAAGAACUCCGAUUGCGAAGGCAGCUUACUAAACUGCCACUGACAUUGAUGCUCGAAAGUGUGGGUAUCAAACAGGAUUAGAUACCCCUGUAGUC
rnacentral:rRNA from 1 species